rnacentral:rRNA from 1 species
AUUGAACGCUGGCGGCAGGCUUAACACAUGCAAGUCGAGCGAGCGGCGGACGGGUGAGUAAUGUCUGGGAAACUGCCUGAUGGAGGGGGAUAACUACUGGAAACGGUAGCUAAUACCGCAUACCAUCAGAUGUGCCCAGAUGGGUUUAGCGAGUAGGUGGGGUAAUGGCCCACCUAGGCGACGAUCCCUAGCUGGUCUGAGAGGAUGACCAGCCACCCUGGAACUGAGACACGGUCCAGACGCCUACGUGAUGCAGCAGUGGGGAAUAUUGCACAAUGGGCUACAGUCUGAUGCAGCCUUGCCGCGUGUGUGAAGAAGGCCUUCGGGUUGUAAAGCACUUUCAGCGAGUAGGCGUUACUCGCAGAAGAAGCACCGGCUAACUCCGUGCCAGCAGCCGCGGUAAUAC